rnacentral:rRNA from 1 species
CGAUAUAGUGGCGAACGGGUGAGUAACACGUAAGCAACCUACCCUUAAGACUGGCACAACCAGCCGAAAGGUUGGCUAAUUCCAGAUGUGGCUACGGGAAGACAUCUUCCUGUAAUUAAAUCCCGCAAGGGGCUUAAGGAUGGGCUUGCGGCUUAUCAGCUAGUUGGUGAGGUAACGGCUCACCAAGGCAAUGACGAGUAGCAGGUCUGAGAGGACGACCUGUCACAAGGGAACUGAGACACGGUCCCUACUCCUACGGGAGGCAGCAGUGAGGAAUUUUCUGCAAUGGGCGCAAGCCUGACAGAGCGACGCCGUGUGUGGGAUGAAGUCCUUCGGGACGUAAACCACUGUCAGAGGGGAAGAUAUUGACGGUACCCUCAGAGGAAGGCCCGGCUAACUACGUGCCAGCAGCCGCGGUAAUACGUAGGGGCCAAGCGUUGUCCGGAUUUAUUGGGCGUAAAGGGCGUGUAGGCGGUCUUGUAAGUCAGAUGUUAAAUCUACGGGCUCAACCCGUAGCCGCAUUUGAUACUGCUUGACUAGAGAAUGCUAGAGGAAAGCGGAACUUCCAGUGUAGCGGUGAAAUGCGUAGAUAUUGGAAGGAACACCAGUGGCGAAGGCGGCUUUCUGGGGCAUUUCUGACGCUGAGGCGCGAAAGCUAGGGGAGCAAACGGGAUUAGAUACCCCGGUAGUCCUAGCCCUAAACGAUGUUCAUUAGGUGUUAAAGGUAUCGACCCCUUUAGUGCCGCAGCUAACGCGUUAAAUUGACCGCCUGGGGAGUACGGUCGCAAGAUUAAAACUCAA